GCUUAACGAGUUUUCAGAAGGGAUAUUAACACGUUGACUGUCAGCUUUUGUAAAAUAAUUAAGAAAGAUAGACUUCGCGGACGUAAACGAUUUUCAACGGUGUUGAUGAUUUAGAUGACAUUGUUAGAAAAAGGCGCGCAAAUACAAGGUUUGCGAAACUUUAACGCUACGAUGUAUAUCGCAUUUCAAUCUGUCGCACCUUCCAGGCCAAUAUAUAUAAAAUAUUGCGUGGUAAUCAUCGUGUUAAAGAUUGCUCUGGCCAAGAAUCAAAGUUCCAGCAGCUUGACCUUCCUCGUUCGCCUAAGAGUUGU
rnacentral:misc_RNA from 1 species